CGGUUCAUCAGUCCAAAUUGAGCUGGAGGCACCUUUGACAUCCCCCUCUCUCUGCCUGCAGGUCAGCUGUCUCCAGUCCUGAGGUCAUCACUCAUCAAGAGGGGAUAAUCCCAAGGACAGCAGGACCUGCUUCGUCACUUGGAUUUAGGAGUGACAAACCCAUCAGGCAACUAAACAGUAACAAUGACCCACCAUUAAACACACUGAGAGAAGAGCAUGAUGAGGAGAUUGUAGAGAAGAAUCCUGGAGCUCUUGCUGACAACACCAAUGGAGACGCUGACCACUAUGGGGCAACUUAGAUCUGCAUCCCCAAGAGGCCCGAGUUGCUUUAACCCUUAUGGACUGAGGUGGCUGCAGUUCCAGUUCCAGUUAUCAGGUAUGGAGUUUUCACCAAAAGAUGGCUUGAAUCCCUGGGUCCUAGAUAAUAUUCUUUUCUGUCCUAUUACCUGCAUUGUGUAGUAGGAAACCUAGUUUCUCCUAGUAAUUGGGUCAAUUUUCCUUAAUAAGAUUUCACAAGUGGAUCAUUGAGAAUGAUAGUGAAAAGAACCAAUCUGAUUUCUACCCAUUGAUUCUUGGAUCUAUAUAUUCUAGCUAUAGAGGAUCUACACUGUUGGUUCUUUAUAUACUGCAUGCUGGAGGUUGCAGUCUAACCUUAUAUGGUAUUAUGCUAAAGCUAGCACCUUAAAUGCAGCUUUAAUAGGCCCUUCCAUUAUUCUACUGCUGGCUGUCUCUGGAUGAUCAAGUACAGUGCAAGACCAAUCAGUCUCAUAGACAUGUGCCCAUUAUCAUAUUCUCUUUUACUAUCAGAUAGGUCCCUUAGUCUGAGGCAAUGUUGGUGGGAUCCCAUACUGGCA
rnacentral:lncRNA from 1 species